rnacentral:misc_RNA from 1 species
AACCAUUCUCACCUGCGGCUAGACCUGCGGAAGGAUCAUUACCGAGUUUACAACUCCCAAACCCCUGUGAACAUACCACUUGUUGCCUCGGCGGAUCAGCCCGCUCCCGGUAAAACGGGACGGCCCGCCAGAGGACCCCUAAACUCUGUUUCUAUAUGUAACUUCUGAGUAAAACCAUAAAUAAAUCAAAACUUUUAGCAACGGAUCU